rnacentral:piRNA from 1 species
UAUGCCACUUGGAAUUCUGGGCUA